GGUAAUGGUGAGAGGUUAGCAUGUUUUGUUGUAGUCUCUGUUAUUGGUAAUGGUGAGAGGUUAGUAUGUUUUGUUGUAGUCUCUGUUAUUGGUAAUGGUGAGAGGUUAGUAUGUUUUGUUGUAGUCUCUGUUAUUGGUAAUGGUGAGAGGUUAGUAUGUUUUGUUGUAGUCUCUGUUAUUGGUAAUGGUGAGAGGUUAGCAUGUUUUGUUGUAGCCUCUGUUAUUGGUAAUGGUGAGAGGUUAGUAUGUUUUGUUGUAGCCUCUGUUAUUGGUAAUGGUGAGAGGUUAGUAUGUUUUGUUGUAGUCUCUGUUAUUGGUAAUGGUGAGAGGUUAGUAUGUUUUGUUGUAGCCUCUGUUAUUGGUAAUGGUGAGAGGUUAGUAUGUUUUGUUGUAGUCUCUGUUAUUGGUAAUGGUGAGAGGUUAGCAUGUUUUGUUGUAGUCUCUGUUAUUGGUAAUGGUGAGAGGUUAGUAUGUUUUGUUGUAGCCUCUGUUAUUGGUAAUGGUGAGAGGUUAGUAUGUUUUGUUGUAGCCUCUGUUAUUGGUAAUGGUGAGAGGUUAGUAUGUUUUGUUGUAGUCUCUGUUAUUGGUAAUGGUGAGAGGUUAGCAUGUUUUGUUGUAGUCUGUUAUUGGUAAUGGUGAGAGGUUAGUAUGUUUUGUUGUAGUCUGUUAUUGGUAAUGGUGAGAGGUUAGCAUGUUUUAUUGUAGCCUCUGUUAUUGGUAAUGGUGAGAGGUUAGUAUGUUUUGUUGUAGUCUGUUAUUGGUAAUGGUGAGAGGUUAGCAUGUUUUGUUGUAGUCUGUUAUUGGUAAUGGUGAGAGGUUAGCAUGUUUUGUUGUAGUCUGUUAUUGGUAAUGGUGAGAGGUUAGCAUGUUUUGUUGUAUCCUCUGUUAUUGGUAAUGGUGAGAGGUUAGCAUGUUUUGUUGUAGUCUGUUAUUGGUAAUGGUGAGAGGUUAGCAUGUUUUGUUGUAGCCUCUGUUAUUGGUAAUGG